rnacentral:rRNA from 1 species
AUGAACGCUGGCGGCGCGCCUAACACAUGCAAGUCGAACGAUUAAAGCACCUUCGGGUGUGUAUAAAGUGGCGAACGGCUGAGUAACACGUGGGCAACCUGCCCCUUUCAUUGGGAUAGCCACGGGAAACCGUGGAUAAUACCGAAUACUUCGAGACUUCCGCAUGGAAGACUCGAGAAAGCUCCGGCGGAGAGGGAUGGGCCCGCGGCCUGUUAGCUUGUUGGUGGGGUAACGGCCUGCCAAGGCAAUGAUGGGUAGCUGGGUUGAGAGACCGACCAGCCAGAUUGGGACUGAGACACGGCCCAGACUCCUACGGGAGGCAGCAGUGGGGAAUCUUGCACAAUGGGCGAAAGCCUGAUGCAGCGACGCCGCGUGCGGGAUGAAGGCCUUCGGGUUGUAAACCGCUUUCAGCAGGGACGAGGCGAAAGUGACGGUACCUGCAGAAGAAGCCCCGGCUAACUACGUG